CCUUUAAGUAUGGACGUGGAGUCUCACAGGCUACUUAAUGUUUACGUUUUCAUAGUUUCGCCUAUUUCCCCCUGCUCCCCGCGAUUGAGCGGCUCAGUAGCUUUUGUUUUAGUUGCCAAACUACCAACGAGGGUGGAGGUUGUGUCGUCCGGUGAAUGUCACAUUUUGUAGUACAAAAUGUCAAAAAUAAAUAAUGCAGGUAAUUCUAAAUCAAAAGGACCGUCUACGGGUUCUAUUCAAAGCCCUGCGCGAAAAAAAUUUCGUGUCGCAGAUCCAACUUUCAAACAAGAAGUGAGUGAGUUGUUAGCUACGGAUCAGUCUGACAAUGAAGAGAAUAUUGAAGGUUUGUUUAUAGUGGAGUCCGAACUAAUACAAAAUCAUGAGAGUGCCAGUGAUGAAGAUCAGGACCAACAUCGAUAUACCUAUGUUUAUGUUGGAUGCAAGAAAUCUGUGUGUCUCCAAUGUUCUAGACGUUUGUGCACUGACUGCCAAUAAAUUUGCGUUAUUAGACUGUUGUCAAUA